GCUGAGCUGGUCUGGCACCUUCAGACCCAUUAUUUCAGGUAUUUUUUUGUUGAUCUUUUCCAGGCUCCCAAAUAAGUCCCCUGGACAUGGCACUCAUCAGUACUUCCACUCCCUGGCCAGCUGGGAGGAGCACCGGAGGCCCUUCGGACCUGGUGAAGCUGCCACUCUGGCUGCAAAUACCAGCAAGGGGUUACGCACAAGGGUGAUGCUUUCAGAUCGGGCUCCCCUGCAUCAGAGCUGUACCCGUAGGCCCAUGAGCCUCUUUGAAGGAGCUUCAGAAGGUAAGACCUCCCCAAGUACAAAGUUACCGAGGACUAGGGGGAAAAGGCUCAUCUCACUUUCAAUUUACAUUAAAUAAGCCACAUGGGAACUAUGGCUCCUUUACUGGCUCACACCCUCCCCUCCAACUGCUUGUUCACAGACACACCACAAGCAAGCAGUCUAAAAUAGUCUUUAGCGCCUUUUACAAAACUGGCCUGGAUAUGAACAUCACAAAUGCAAUGUGCAAACUGAAAUCAGGGCUGAUGGUGUAUUAUCGGUGAUUGUUUAUAUUUAUCUGCCAGUGACUUCUUCAGAGCCUCAUAUUUAUUCAUUCAGUUCUUCCUUUGGGUCACAUCAGUGAGAAUGAUUCUUAUAUAUAGUGCUUCUUGGGAGGCACAGGAUCCGGGAUGUAUUCCUUCCCUCUCAUAUGAGGCGGAAGAAGAACAGUCAUUAAGGAUUUUCCUGUAACUUGGGGACAGACCCACUGGGGUCUGAGAACACACACGCUGACACCAUUCUAUGUAAACCCAGACAUGCUUCUGCUCAUUUUAAUUAGACAGAUAAAAUUAGCAAGGAGAUUAAGAUAAAAGGAGAAAUUAAAAAUAUUUAAAUGUUAGGUGGAAUUUACAAAAGUGAAUUGAACAAUGAGGUACAAGAAGGAAUGCGGAGAAACACAGACACAUUUGAAACAUUCCUCGGAUGCCACACGGCUUAAGCCAGUCCACAAAUAAGGUAAGAAGAAUUCUCCCUUGCCAUCUC
rnacentral:lncRNA from 1 species